AUUUUCAUCAUGUGUCCCUCUAGUGUUUAGUUAUAAUAAUAGGCUGUUUACGUUGUUCAACGCUGAAAAUGUUACCGAUUCCCAAUGUGGUAUUUAUCACUCAUCGUUUCAGCAAUUGAAAAGGUUUACAUUUACUAAGUCUGUAGAAGACCAAACUAUUUUUGGGUACACCUUCGUCACCGUCAGCAUUUAUGUUCCAAACACCACAGAUCCCUUAAUAGGAUUUGAAAACAUUUUCAAUCGAGUUUUAUACGGACGCAAA